UGAGGAAUAUUGGUCAAUGGCCGUAAGGCUGAACCAGCCAUGCCGCGUGAAGGAUGACUGCCCUAUGGGUUGUAAACUUCUUUUCUACGGGGGUAAAUUCCGGAACGAGUUCCGGAUUGAAAGUACUGUAGGAAUAAGCAUCGGCUAACUCCGUGCCAGCAGCCGCGGUAAUACGGAGGGUGCGAGCGUUAAUCGGAAUCACUGGGCGUAAAGCGCACGUAGGCGGUGUCGUAAGUCGGAUGUGAAAGCCCUCGGCUCAACCGGGGAACUGCAUUCGAUACUGCGACGCUUGAGUGCCGGAGAGGGUGGCGGAAUUCCAGGUGUAGGAGUGAAAUCCGUAGAUAUCUGGAGGAACACCAGUGGCGAAGGCGGCCACCUGGCCGGCAACUGACGCUGAGGUGCGAAAGCGUGGGGAUCAAACA
rnacentral:rRNA from 1 species